rnacentral:rRNA from 1 species
GAUGAACGCUGGCGGCGUGCCUAAUACAUGCAAGUCGAGCGAACGGACGAGAAGUUUGCUUUUCUGAUGUUAGCGGCGGACGGGUGAGUAACACGUGGAUAACAUACCUAUAAGAAGGGGAUAACUUCGGGAAACCGGAGCUCAUACCGGAUAAUAUUUUGCACUGCAUGGUUCAAAAGUGAAAGACGGUCUUGCUGUCACUUAUAGAUGGAUCCGCGCUGCAUUAGAUAGUUGGUAAGGUAACGGCUUACCAAGGCAAGGCUGGAUAACCGCCCUGAACGGGUGAUCGGCCACACGGGAACUGAGACACGUUCCAGACUCCUACGGGAGGCAGCAGUAGGGAAUCUUCCGCAAUGGGCGAAAGCCUGACGGAGCAACGCCGCGGGAGUGAUGAAGGUCUUCGGAUCGUAAAGCUCUGUUAUUAGUGAAGAACAUAUGUGUAAGUAACUGUGCACAUCUUGACGGUACCUAAUCAGAAAGCCCCGGCUAACUACGUG